GCAAGUCGAACGGAAAGGCCCUUCGGGGUACUCGAGUGGCGAACGGGUGAGUAACACGUGGGUGAUCUGCCCUGCACUUUGGGAUAAGCCUGGGAAACUGGGUCUAAUACCGAAUAGGACCGCAUGCUUCAUGGUGUGUGGUGGAAAGCUUUUGCGGUGUGGGAUGGGCCCGCGGCCUAUCAGCUUGUUGGUGAGGUAAUGGCUUACCAAGGCGACGACGGGUAGCCGGCCUGAGAGGGUGACCGGCCACACUGGGACUGAGAUACGGCCCAGACUCCUACGGGAGGCAGCAGUGGGGAAUAUUGCACAAUGGGCGCAAGCCUGAUGCAGCGACGCCGCGUGAGGGAUGACGGCCUUCGGGUUGUAAACCUCUUUCGCCAGGGACGAAGCGCAAGUGACGGUACCUGGAGAAGAAGGACCGGCCAACUACGUGCCAGCAGCCGCGGUAAUACGUAGGGUCCGAGCGUUGUCCGGAAUUACUGGGCGUAAAGAGCUCGUAGGUGGUUUGUCGCGUUGUUCGUGAAAACUCACAGCUUAACUGUGGGCGUGCGGGCGAUACGGGCAGACUUGAGUACUGCAGGGGAGACUGGAAUUCCUGGUGUAGCGGUGGAAUGCGCAGAUAUCAGGAGGAACACCGGUGGCGAAGGCGGGUCUCUGGGCAGUAACUGACGCUGAGGAGCGAAAGCGUGGGGAGCGAACAGGAUUAGAUACCCUGGUAGUCCACGCCGUAAACGGUGGGUACUAGGUGUGGGUUUCCUUCCUUGGGAUCCGUGCCGUAGCUAACGCAUUAAGUACCCCGCCUGGGGAG
rnacentral:rRNA from 1 species